GGGUGAAAAACCCGUUCGCCGAAAGACCAAGGGUUCCAGUCCAACGUUAAUCGGGGCUGGGUGAGUCGACCCCUAAGGCGAGGCCGAAAGGCGUAGUCGAUGGGAAAAUGGUUAAUAUUCCAUUACUUCUGUGUAAUGCGAUGAGAGGACGGAGAAGGCUAAAUCAGCCUGGCGUUGGUUGUCCAGGUGAAAGGAUGUAGGCAUGUAUCUUAGGCAAAUCCGGGGUACUCUAUGCUGAGAUCUGAUAGCAAGCUGUACUUGUACAGCGAAGUGGUUGAUGCCAUGCUUCCAGGAAAAGUCUCUAAGCUUCAGUUACACAGGAAUCGUACCCGAAACCGACACAGGUGGUCAGGUCGAGUAGACCAAGGCGCUUGAGAGAACUCUGCUGAAGGAACUAGGCAAAAUGGUACCGUAACUUCGGGAGAAGGUACGCUGUUGUUGGUGAUGGAACUCGCUUCCUGAGCUGACGACAGCCGCAGAAACCAGGCCGCUGCAACUGUUUAUUAAAAACAUAGCACUCUGCAAACACGAAAGUGGACGUAUAGGGUGUGAUGCCUGCCCGGUGCUGGAAGGUUAAUUGAUGGGGUUAGCGUAAGCGAAGCUCUUGAUCGAAGCCCCAGUAAACGGCGGCCGUAACUAUAACGGUCCUAAGGUAGCGAAAUUCCUUGUCGGGUAAGUUCCGACCUGCACGAAUGGCAUAAUGAUGGCGGCGCUGUCUCCAGCAGAGGCUCAGUGAAAUCGAAAUCGCUGUGAAGAUGCAGUGUACCCGCGGCUAGACGGAAAGACCCCGUGAACCUUUACUGCAGCUUGACACUGAACUUUGACCUUACUUGUGUAGGAUAGGUGGGAGGCUUUGAAGCUGGAACGCUAGUUCCAGUGGAGCCGUCCUUGAAAUACCACCCUGGUAAUGUUGAGGUUCUAACUCUGUCCCGUGAUCCGGGACGAGGACCGUGUCUGGUGGGUAGUUUGACUGGGGCGGUCUCCUCCUAAAGAGUAACGGAGGAGUACGAAGGUGCGCUCAGCGUGGUCGGAAAUCACGCGUAGAGUAUAAAGGCAAAAGCGCGCUUAACUGCGAGACCCACAAGUCGAGCAGGUACGAAAGUAGGUCUUAGUGAUCCGGUGGUUCUGUAUGGAAGGGCCAUCGCUCAACGGAUAAAAGGUACUCUGGGGAUAACAGGCUGAUACCGCCCAAGAGUUCAUAUCGACGGCGGUGUUUGGCACCUCGAUGUCGGCUCAUCUCAUCCUGGGGCUGAAGCAGGUCCCAAGGGUAUGGCUGUUCGCCAUUUAAAGAGGUACGCGAGCUGGGUUUAGAACGUCGUGAGACAGUUCGGUCCCUAUCUACCGUGGGCGCUGGAAAUUUGAGAGGAUCUGCUCCUAGUACGAGAGGACCAGAGUGGACGAACCUCUGGUGUACCGGUUGUGACGCCAGUCGCAUCGCCGGGUAGCUAUGUUCGGAAGGGAUAACCGCUGAAAGCAUCUAAGCGGGAAGCCUACCUCAAGAUAAGAUUUCCCUAGGACUUUAUGUCCUCUAAAGAGCCGUUCGAGACUAGGACGUUGAUAGGUUGGAUGUGGAAGCAUAGUGAUAUGUGAAGCUGACCAAUACUAAUUGCUCGUGAGGCUUGACUAU
rnacentral:rRNA from 1 species